CCUCAAAUCAGGUAGGACUACCCGCUGAACUUAAGCAUAUCAAUGAG
rnacentral:rRNA from 1 species